AUUGAACGCUGGCGGCAGGCCUAACACAUGCAAGUCGAGCGAGCGGCGGACGGGUGAGUAACGCGUAAAGAACUUGCCUCACCGAUAGGGACAACAUUUGGAAACGAAUGCUAAUACCUGAUACUGUGAGAGAGCUUUGCGUCCCAUUAGCUAGUUGGAGAAGUAACGGCUCACCAAGGCGAUGAUGGGUAGCCGGUCUGAGAGGGUGAUCGGCCAAAAGGGGACUGAGACACGGCACUUACUCCUACGGGAGGCUGCAGUGGGGAAUAAUGGACAAUGGACCAAAGUCGGAUCCAGCAAUUGUGUGUGAAAGAUGAAGUUUUCGGAAUGUAAAGUGCUUUCAGUGGGGAAGCGGUACCAGCAGAAGAAGUGACGGCUAAAUACGUGCCAGCAGCCGCGGUAAUAC
rnacentral:rRNA from 1 species